UGCGAAUGGCUCAUUAUAUAAGUUAUCGUUUAUUUGAUAGUACCUUACUACUUGGAUAACCGUGGUAAUUCUAGAGCUAAUACAUGCUGAAAAUCCCGACUUCGGAAGGGAUGUAUUUAUUAGAUUCAAAACCAAUGCCCUCUGGGCUCUCUGGUGAUUCAUGAUAACUGCUCGAAUCGCACGGCCUUGCGCCGGCGAUGGCUCAUUCAAAUUUCUUCCCUAUCAACUUUCGAUGUUUGGGUAGUGGCCAAACAUGGUUGCAACGGGUAACGGAGGGUUAGGGCUCGACCCCGGAGAAGGAGCCUGAGAAACGGCUACUACAUCCAAGGAAGGCAGCAGGCGCGCAAAUUACCCAAUCCCGACACGGGGAGGUAGUGACAAUAAAUACCGAUACAGGGCUCUUUUGGGUCUUGUAAUUGGAAUGAGUACAAUUUAAAUCCCUUAACGAGGAACAAUUGGAGGGCAAGUCUGGUGCCAGCAGCCGCGGUAAUUCCAGCUCCAAUAGCGUAUAUUAAAGUUGUUGUGGUUAAAAAGCUCGUAGUUGAACCUUGGGCCUGGCUGGCCGGUCCGCCUCACCGCGUGCACUGGUCCGGCCGGGUCUUUCCCUCUGUGGAACCCCAUGUCCUUCACUGGGCGUGGCGGGGAAACAGGACUUUUACUUUGAAAAAAUUAGAGUGCUCCAGGCAGGCCUAUGCUCGAAUACAUUAGCAUGGAAUAAUGAAAUAGGACGCGCGGUUCUAUUUUGUUGGUUUCUAGGACCGCCGUAAUGAUUAAUAGGGACAGUCGGGGGCGUCGGUAUUCAAUAGUCAGAGGUGAAAUUCUUGGAUCUAUUGAAGACCAACUACUGCGAAAGCAUUCGUCAAGGAUGUUUUCAUUAAUCAGGAACGAAAGUUAGGGGAUCGAAGACGAUCAGAUACCGUCGUAGUCUUAACCAUAAACUAUGCCGACUAGGGAUCGGACGAUGUUAUUUUUUGACUCGUUCGGCACCUUACGAGAAAUCAAAGUGCUUGGGCUCCAGGGGGAGUAUGGUCGCAAGGCUGAAACUUAAA
rnacentral:rRNA from 1 species